GACGAACGCUGGCGGCGUGCCUAAUACAUGCGAGUCGAACGAGAGCGACCGGUGCUUGCACUGGUCAAUCUAGUGGCGAACGGGUGAGUAACACGUGGGUAACCUGCCCAUCAGAGGGGGAUAACAUCCGGAAACGGAUGCUAAAACCGCAUAGGUCUUCGAACCGCAUGGUUUGAAGAGGAAAAGAGGCGCAAGCUUCUGCUGAUGGAUGGACCCGCGGUGCAUUAGCUAGUUGGUGAGGUAACGGCUCACCAAGGCCGUGAUGCAUAGCCGACCUGAGAGGGUGAUCGGCCACAUUGGAACUGAGACACGGCCCAAACUCCUACGGGAGGCAGCAGUAGGGAAUCUUCCGCAAUGGACGCAAGUCUGACGGAGCAACGCCGCGUGAGUGAAGAAGGUUUUCGGAUCGUAAAACUCUGUUGUUAGAGAAGAACAAGUGCUAGAGUAACUGUUAGCGCCUUGACGGUAUCUAACCAGAAAGCCACGGCUAACUACGUG
rnacentral:rRNA from 1 species